CUACGGGACGCACCAGUGGGGAAUAUUGCACAAUGGAGGAAACUCUGAUGCAGCAACGCCGCGUGGAGGAUGACACUUUUCGGAGCGUAAACUCCUUUUAUAUAGGAAGAAGAUGACGGUACUAUAUGAAUAAGCGCCGGCUAACUCCGUGCCAGCAGCCGCGGUAAUACGGAGGGCGCAAGCGUUACUCGGAAUCACUGGGCGUAAAGAGCGUGUAGGCGGAUUAAAAAGUCAGAAGUGAAAUCCUAUAGCUUAACUAUAGAACUGCUUCUGAAACUCUUAAUCUAGAAUAGGGGAGAGGUAGAUGGAAUUUCUGGUGUAGGGGUAAAAUCCGUAGAGAUCAGAAGGAAUACCGAUUGCGAAGGCAAUCUACUAGAACAUUAUUGACGCUGAGACGCGAAAGCGUGGGGAGCAAACAGGAUUAGAUACCCCAGUAGUC
rnacentral:rRNA from 1 species